CAGAGCAGAUUCCUCCACCUAGGCUAGAUACACGGAAACGAACCUGGUUUGUGGACUUCAACUACCAGGUGGACGUCAAAGCUCGCAAAGCACUCUGGGAUUCGUAGUCAGACUUGGAUGAUGGACUGAGCAGAGUGGAGACUGGAUGAUGCAGUACCUCCGUGCGCCUGUCUGACAGCUCUUUCAGGGUGAAAGCUUUUGGUUUUAUCUUGUGCCAAACCACCUGUAUGUGUAUGACUCAUCUGUGAUGUGGAGGUGAGUAGAAACAGUGCACGAACCUUCACCUCCUGUUAAUUUUAGCCACAAAUCAUUUAGAAAAGACACACAUGGCUCAGUUCCUUAAAAGGACCUUUAUCGUUUUUCUAUUUAACCUUUGUUUGUUUCUCAUUUAUUUAUUAUAAGGUUGCCUGUUUGUUUUUAAUUCUCUAAAUUUACUCUAAACUGCCAGAACUUAGACAUAGAAAUGCCCUUUCACCAAACAUUAUACACACUGUCAGUCUGAAGAAAAAAUAGCUUGAUUUUAAAAACAGUGAAUUAAUGAAUAUGAAUAUCGAUGGCAACUUAGUCCAAUAAUAGUCCAAAUGGCCUGUGCUAAUGUUUGCAUCUAUUUCAUGUAAUCAUGAUGAUCAUCAUGAUUUUUUACAGAGUAGGACUGCAAGGUCAAGCCCUGUGUAUUUUUUUCCUGUUCAUUUAGGGGUUACAUUUUAUAAUGAAAAACUUGGGUAUUUUAAAUGCUGAUCCAUACAUUUUCUUCUGCUUAUCUGUUGUCGGGUUAAGUAGGUUUUCAGGUGCCCCUUUCUGUAAUUAAAUUUUGCAGCUUUUACUGGAGGAAUCCAAAGGUGUUCCCAGGCCAGAUGAGAUAUAUAACCUCUCUAGCAACAUCUGGGUCUAUCCUGGAAUCUCCUCAAAGUUGAAUCUGACCAGAAAAUCUGCAAAGGAAGGUGUCCAGAAGGCAACUUAAUCUGAUGUGAGAACCAAGUUAGCGGGCUCCAUCGAAACAAAGGAGCAGCAAUUCUACGUCCAGCUGCUCACCUUAUCUCUAACUGAGCCAUUCUCAGGAGGAAACCCAUUUUUCCUGCUUUUAUCCAUGACCACAUUCUUCCAGUCAAUACCAGGAGCUUAUGAUCUUAGAUAAGAGUUGAGGCAUAGACCAACUAAAGAGAUUUGCCUUCUGACUCAACUCCCUCUUCACCAUAACAGUCACCGGCAUUAUUGCUGAUUCACAUCAUUCAUAAACAAGAUCUCAAGGUACUCAAACUUCUUGUCUUGGAGCAGCAACUUCCCCUUCACCAAAAGGGAGAAUCCACUAGUAUCUGGCAGAGCAACCACGGCUUAAGACUCGGAGGUGCUGAUUCUCAUCCUCGGCUACAAAAUACCCCAGAGCUCACGGAAGGUCACGGUCUGAUGAAGACAGCAGGAUGAUGUCAUCUGCAAAUGGAACAGAUGUGAUUCUUAGUUUCCAAACCACAUAACUGUGCCUCGAGAUCCUGUCCAUUAAUUGAAGAAAUCCAGCAACCACCGGAAAUGUGUCUGGCUUUGUGCCAGUGAUACAAAGACAGCAAUGGAAGGACUGGAUGCCCCUUAGCAAUGACCCCAGUACCCAAACAGGGCUGGCUGGGUCACUUAGUUCUCCAAGUCCAUAAAACACAUAUGGACUGGAUGCUCAAACGCCCAUCUCCCAGACUGCAACUCCACAAAGUUCCACUGUUGCUGCUCAUCCUGAAUCUGAGAUGAAACAGUCCUCCUUUCCAGCACUUUUGGAUAAACUGUCCUGCAGUGUGACAGUCAGAUCCUUAGAGUCUUUGCAUUUAAACUGGGACUUAAAAAAGAAAACAGAAGCUCUAGUGUCCUAAAUUGUAUUACUAGCAUUAAAUAGGCUUGACAACACUGUAGGUAUGUAUUGUAGAUCUUUGCAGAAGAGGAUUAGCUCCACUUUGAGCCAAAUACUUGAGUUCUGACUUUUUCAAUAAAGCCAAAAAAUUUGAAAAUAACUAAGCCCUCGGUAUUAGUGUCAGAUCCAGAUUUUCUUAUAAAAAUGUAGAUGAUGUUGGGGGAACUUGUUGUCAUAACAUCAAUAUUUAAAAGCUUGCCCACAGCCUUGAUCAUGAUUUAUAUAUACUGUCUUUUAAGUGUGAGGUGAAUCUAUUUUUGCUCAGUUUCACCUCACCUACACUCCUUUAACCACCUUCCAAUCAUACAGUCACAGCCCAAACUCCAUUUUUACAAACAGGAGCUCUCAGCUCAGUUUUUUAAUGAGAUAAUUUUGCAGACAGAGACAUUUUCUGUUUUCCAUGAGCAACUAUGGUGGUCUGGGUGAUUUCAGCCUGAGCUCAUUUAGUCUAAUAGCAAAAUUAUUAUUCUGGAUUUAAACAGUUUGGCAUAUAUUUUAGAUCCAUUUGCUACAGACAAAUGUGCUGUGAGGUGUUGGUGCGCUGUAAAGCUCGGAGCAUUUGUGAGAAAGCCAGCGUUGUAUCGACACAAAGCUGUCCGGCAUCCAAGGUUGCCUCCUCUUGUCCUUGCUGUUGUCACAGCAACAGAAAAGGCCUGGAUGUUGGAGAAAAGGGCCCGCUUCUUUGUUUAGUCUUUUUUUUCCUUUUUUUUUUUUUUUAAUCCAAAGCGGCUCAAAAAGGCAUUCGGUUAAUCAGUGGAGGUCACUCAGUUUUCAGGGCAAAACAUGGAGCGAGACUGCAACUCAGCACAUUCUUAAAACCGAUUGCUAUAUCUCUGCCAUUUGAAUCUGUUGAUUCAUGCUGAAUGUUUUUUCAGUUGCAAAGCCUCAAAAUCUCUCUGUUUACUCGUCUGCCUGACUGACAUCUUCUGCUGCUUGCGGGUUUCUCUGGCGCCAUCGGAGGAGGAGAGCCCACAGCGGCCCUCUUCCCAGGGACGCCAUGAGAAUACCGACUCCAAAAAUAGAGGUAUCCUCCUCUCCUUUCACCUCAUCUGCUCUUCCAGAUGAAAGACCCAGAUGGCAGGCAACAUCCCAGCAACACUGGUGGACAUCAUCUACAGGUUCGGUCAAGCAGUGGUAUAACUUUUCCAUGAAGGAUCCUGCGUUAAAGGAACAGAAACAGGCUGUGAACACAACAACAGUUUGAUGUCAAAUCCAGCAGUUCUGGAGCAACAUUAUCAUCCAUUUGGAGUCGUGUUACUGGACACCUGGGAAAUUUGAUUGAGGCAGAUCACCACCCUCCCUGAGCCUGGUAGUUGAGUUUUAACCUACCACUGUUCCCAAAGGCUUUCCCAAGGAAUCUUUGGAUUUGUUGAGUUUUCUCUAUAAUUUUAUAAUGAUCUGAUUUUAUGUUGUGGAGCACCUUCAGAUGAAAAAUGCUGCGAAUUGGAAGGACUUGAAAGACUGAAUGGAAGCUCAUACACCAUGGAUUGUGCAACUCACCCCACAUGUUGGUUGCACAAUACACAUUAGGGAUGUUUUGUUUUCCUUUUUUGGAUACAAAUCUUUUUUUAUCUCUGCGAUGAGUGGGCAGCAUCUUUGAGCCCGGAAUCCAGUUUGUAUAAUCCAUCCAUGGUGUCACUCUCAAACAGAAAUGACUUGAGAGGAAAGUCCAGUCAGACCACAUCAUAACAAGUGACUGUUAAAGGCCUUGAACGCAGACGCAGGAGUUUUCACUUAUUCUGGCAAAUUAGAACAAACUUCAGUAACCUAUUAUAAUGAUAAACGUGUCUUGUCUUGCACUCUAACAGAUGUAAAAAAAAAAAAAAAAAAAAAAAAAAAAAAGUAGCAGCAUCGAUCAAGAAUAGCACCUAAUGCUCACACGGUCCUCAUGCUGCACUCAUGUCAUAUUGUUAGAGCAUAAUGAUGAACUGCAGUUAGUCUGAGUUAGACAUUCCUUCUUUUGAAAAGAGCUGAAAGCGUAACUAACCACAGCAUUGAUGUGGUCUCUUCCUGACACAAACACAAUAGAUUCAUCCCAGUUAAAAGGAUCUGUGCAUUGUUUGUCUUUGGUUUCACUUGUUAAUGAACCACCAUUAAUAUGUGACACCACAAAGUAGCUCAUGUGGCUGUUUAAAUGGUGUGACUACAAGGCUUGUUAGUGCUAUCCAGCAGUAAUGCAUCAACACUCCUAAGUUAGAUUAAUGACAGUUUUUGCUUGUUUUUUCACAUUUGGCUGACCCUGUGUGAAUACAGUAUUAGACGAGUUUAAUUAGAUAAAAUAAGUGAAAAGACCUGUUGGAUGACGAGUGUGUGGGGCUUUUUAAUGAUGCAUUUUCUAAUGAAUUUGCAUAGUUCUACACAAAAUGGGUUAACGUCGGAAUCACAGAAUGAUGCAUGAUAUGAUUUCAAAUGGCCAAACAACACAUUUUUGGCAUUUUGGUGCAGACAGAACGAUAAAUGACAUGCAAGAAAGGUUCCCUGGACAGAAAUCAAACUGUGGACGAUGAAAAUGCACACUUUUCAUCAAAGACAGUGCAUCACUUAUACGGAGUUUCACAUUUUUAGCCUUUUUUUUUUUUUGCAAUCCCAGUUACAUUUAUGACAAGCAUUACAAAUUGAUGUGUGAACUAAACAUUUAUUAAAGAUAUUAGUUAAAGCAAAGGUAACUAAUAUAUCUUGAAAUGUGCUUUUGUAACCUUUGUACAAACGUUUUGUUCCAGAAAGUGUUAUCAAAAGUCCUUGAGUUGCUUCAGUUUGUAAUUUUAAAUGGAAAAGCUCAAAAAGAACCAUGCUGACACAAGCCAGGAACUCUUGCAGAGUGUGCUUUAUAAAGUAACGGCUGAUGCAAUAUUACAACAUCACCUACGAGUGUCAAUCUUAUCUGAUGCAAUCUGUAAGACAUAUUAAGAUAUACUCAGGUUAUUAUACAAUUUUAAGGGCCACUUUCUUUGAACGCCAGCGUGUGAGAUGAACAAUUAAGGCAGCAUGGUGGUCAGAUAAACCUCCAUAAGCUCACAGUCAGAUGUCAUCAUCUCUAGUCAUGAAUUCCCAAAUUCAUCACCUGCAUCAUUUUCAUUGUAUUAAAUCUAAAUCUACAGAGGGCGGUACAAGUAAGGCAGCUACUUUUAUGUAUCUGCCCCUCUGCUAUGUGUCACCGUGUGCUGCUACUGUGUAUAAAUAACUCAUAGGUCUCUGCUCCAAAGCCACCAAGCCAAAUUCUCCCUAAAUUUAACCUGUGUGAAUUGUGACUCCGACAUUACUUCUGGGCCGAAACGGAAAGCUCCACACAAUGCGAGCUUGAUUCCACACUGGGGGCUGUAGCAGACUGCCAGCAGACUUGUUUUGCUAACACUCUCCAAAUGAUAAAAAUGUCACUCACAGUCCUAUCUGGAGGCAUGGCGAAUUCCCCCAGCAGCAUCAGCAUCAGCCACACUGGCAUGGCUGGCACUUCUCUGCUCUGUGCAUUUUUUUUAAUAAACACGUCUUCAGCUCAAAUACUAAUCCCCGCAAAGCAGCAGAAAAAAACUUUGCAAGGAAAAAAAAAUCUGACAACUGGUCAGAAAAGGGGGGUGCGAGGGAAAGGCGCUUUCCUGCCCUCAGCAGAAAUACUCCGUCUUCUGGGAUGGGUGAAGGACGUAUUAGAAAAAUGGCUAAAUACUAGUGAAUACACACAGAAUCAUGAAUAAAUUUCUGAUGUCAAAGCA